rnacentral:rRNA from 1 species
GUCCACGCCGUAAACGAUGAGUGCUAGACGUCGGGGUUCACCUUCCGGUGUCGCAGCUAACGCUUUAAGCACUCCGCCUGGGGAGUACGGUCGCAAGAUUAAAACUCAAAGGAAUUGACGGGGCCCGCACAAGCGGUGGAGCAUGUGGUUUAAUUCGAAGCAACGCGAAGAACCUUACCAGCCCUUGACUUGGGGAGUGUGGGUCGCAGAGAUGUGACCCUUCAGUUCGGCUGGCUCCCACACAGGUGCUGCAUGGCUGUCGU